CCCUGCCGAGCCCCGGGCCCACCGGCAGCUUCAGAGCGCUGGCCGAAGCUCGGGCUGCGCCAGCUGAGUCACUCCCAAGUAAACGGCAGGUCUCGGCACAGCUGUUUGGACCAAUCAUACUUCAGGCAAAAACCAGCAAUGCUGCAAGCACACGAGUAGAUAGAAAAGAAACAUACAAACCAUGGCAAUUUCUUUGCUUUUGAGUCACUUCCCAGCACAUGCCUCCACUGCAGCUUCCUUUUGGGGUAAAUAUCGCAUUAGCUGCCAGUAAACCCUGUGGAUCCACUGCCCUUACAGUCCCGGGCACUUGGAACCUUCUUCCACCUCCUUCCACUUCCGAAGUAACUGGGAACAGCGUGUUUAUUUGCCACUGAAAUGUCAACAGAAAAGCAAACAAACAAAACCCAUCAGAGCUGCAAGCCUGACUUGGAGAUUCUAGUUCCCACACACCAAGAGAGCACGAGGAAGCUUUCCCAAUAUUUAGAGACUUUAUAAGCUGACAGACAACAUGCAUGGUUUUCAUCCAGUUUUCAGGGAAACAUGCACACGUUCCAGUUCCUGGACCAGUCACUCUGCAAAGCAUCUGGAAAUGGUCUACAUCCAUAACAGAAAUGCAGAUAAAAAGGGAAUGAGGAUUUGCCACAAGAAGUUGAAAACAGAAGUAUGCUGUCAUCCCUAGCAAGUGCUGGAAAGCAAUGGGCAAUGGCAUCAGCAACGAAGAUAAAACCAAGGAAAAAAUGUAUAAUGUCUGGCUACAGAGUCAUAGAAUGUGGUGGAGUUUUGGAGGUCCACUCCCCGCUCCAGCAAAAUCUCCCAAGAGUCAGGGGCUCAGGACCCUGUCCAGACGGCUCCGAGUACCUCCAGCGAUGGAGGUACCACAGCUCUCUGGCCUUUCCUUAUGCACCUCUCCUGCACGGCUCUGAACACAGCAGUUUCUGCCCUUAUCUGUUUAAUACGCGCUUUCAUUAUACAACACUGAAUGUUCACAGAAGUUCAUUAUUUUUAAGAACCACAAGCAGGUCUUGCACUGAAAUUCACCUACUUAUCAAGGAUGUCUCCCUUCACCUGCCUGAUACAGUUCUGUCUUCAUCCAUCCUGGGAGACAACUUUGUCUUCACACACCUCAGUGACACUACAAUCAUAGUAACAGCCUACAAGGACAAGCAUAUCCACACAACAUUCAUGUAAUCUAUGAAAAAGUGGGAAAGGAACUACAGAUCUUUCUUUUCAGAGAUAAGUAAAAGGUGCACAAUGGUCAUAAAUAAAUACUUUAAUAUUUAGUAAGGGCAGCUGAAAAGGGUAUUUUCCUUUUUGCUAAAAGGCUGUCCCACAAGACAAAUGAGAACUGGCUUCAGAGCCUGGCAAGCAGUGGAGCCAGGAUCAAGCCUGUCCUCCCAGCCCAGAAAAACAACACUGCCAGUUCAUGAAAAUAAACUUGUUUUAGCAGAA